rnacentral:rRNA from 1 species
GACGAACGCUGGCGGCGUGCUUAACACAUGCAAGUCGAACGGAAAGGCCCUGCUUUUGUGGGGUGCUCGAGUGGCGAACGGGUGAGUAACACGUGAGUAACCUGCCCUUUACUUUGGGAUAACUUCAGGAAACUGGGGCUAAUACCGGAUAGGAGCUCCUGCUGCAUGGUUGGGGUUGUAAAGUUUCGGCGGUUGGGGAUGGACUCGCGGCUUAUCAGCUUGUUGGUGGGGUAGUGGCUUACCAAGGCUUUGACGGGUAGCCGGCCUGAGAGGGUGACCGGCCACAUUGGGACUGAGAUACGGCCCAGACUCCUACGGGAGGCAGCAGUGGGGAAUAUUGCAAGAUGGGCGGAAGCCUGAUGCAGCAACGCCGCGUGCGGGAUGACGGCCUUCGGGUUGUAAACCGCUUUCGCCUGUGACGAAGAGUGAGUGACGGUAAUGGGUAAAGAAGCACCGGCUAACUACGUG